rfam:Triticum urartu cultivar G1812 contig148729, whole genome shotgun sequence.
GAAAUACUCCCCUCGUCCCAAAAUUCUUGUCUUAGAUUAGUCUAGAUACGGAUGUAUCUAAUACUAAAAUGUGACUUUAUACGUCCGCAUUUAGACAAAUCUAAGACGAGAAUUUUGGGACGGAGGGAGUAUGUC